AUGUGCCUCCACACCCAACCUGCCCCAGAAGCUCCUACAGUGAAGUCAAGCGUCAGUCAAUACUCAUCACUGCACUUGCUCAGUUGGUGUUUUUCCUUUCACCUUGACUUCACUGAACCAUAUAUACCACUUGAUUGGCCCCCGUUAAAGUACAAGUUUGUGCCCUCUGGUCCAAAGGAUAUAACUGCCCAUAGAAAGACAUGCUUACUGUUCCCCUCUGGGGACACUGACCCACUGCAAGGCUCUUCUUAAUGCUCAUUGAAAGCAGAAGUCAUCCACACACAGGUUGGACAACCUUUUUUGUUCUAAGACAAUACAGAUAAAGAAGUAGCUUGGCAUGACCUCAACCUGUCUCGCCUCUUCCAGAAGGAUUACAAGGGACAGAGCAAGACAGGAAGAUGAAUGAAGCAGCUUCCACUCUAGAAGUCAAGAACUCUUUAAUUUUUUGAAAAACAAAAAGAUUUUGUUCUAAAAGCUAAAACAAAAAAUGACAACCACAAAUGCUACUUUAAAAAAGUCACUUUUAAAAUUAAUGCCUAUGCAUAGUGUUAGCUAUCAGUCACUCUGUUUGACCCCGCCUGAUGUACUUUGACGAAUCUUUCUUCUGAAAAGAAUAAAUCAUGCUGUUUGGAGGAUGAAUCUAACAGGCUUUGCUCUUCCUGAACAAUAAUGUAUUCCAUAGGGAUGUGCUUUGUUCUCUUGAGUUUCAGAAUUUAUAAGCUUGACGUUUAUUACAGACUCUACAACAGCACUGUUCUGUACUCUGAAACUGAUUUGCCUGCUGAGACUGCAUAAAAUCGAAAGGAAAAUCUGUCAACAGCUCCUUUUCCCUUUGCUUGACUUCCAUGCGUUUCUGGGCACCAUAGAGUAUUUCGUUUUUCAGGACCGUUUCCAAGCCAAGUCUGCUUCUACUCAAGAUUUGUUCUGCACUAAACCUGAAGAGGCUCAUUGGCCAAGGUCUAGUUGACUCGUUCCACUGGAUUUCCCCACUUGGUCUACAUUUUUUACUUCAUUCCCUAGCCGUAGCCUUUACCAGUACUUUCGCAUUCAUCUAACUUAAGCACCCACGUAGUAAAUAUUUGGUGAGUACUCUAUACGUGAAUAAAUAAAAACAUAAUAGAUUUAUUCUUUAAGUGACCAAUAUGAUAAAAUGUAUUGCUUUUUAAUGCUUUUAAUAACUCUCUUUUAUUAUUGUUGCUCUUAAGCAAAGAUAAAUAUGCAUGCUUUAUGUUCAGUCACAAUAGGUCUUUUAUAAAAAGCACUUGAAGGAAAACAUUAAUUUCCUCCAGCCUUGUUGC
rnacentral:lncRNA from 1 species